GGCAAGGAGGAACACAAGCGACUCGUAAUUCGAGAAAUUGCUGUUCAAGAUGGCGGCAUAAAAACUUGUGCUGUAGUUGUGGAAUACGUGUAAUAUCUAUUUAAUAAUUUAAAGUACAGAUUUUAACAACUUUAAUUAAAGAUGAGCCCAGUUGACUCGCAUUCCGAUGCCUCUGUUGAAGUGUUAAAUGACAAGAAAGUAGCAGAGAAUGAAGGGGCCGAUAUUGUAAAGAAAUCUAAGAAAAAGAAACAUAAGCAUCAUCAUAAGCACAAGAAACACCUAAGUGAUAAAGACGGGAAACAUGAAAAAAAACACCACAAGAAAAAGAAGCACAAGAAAGCUGCCGAAGUCCCUGAUGCUGCUGAAGAAAUUAAGCCAAAGGAAAACAUAUCUAUUAAAAUAUCAUCUGAUGGCUCAAAGAGAGAAGUCAGAGAAGCAAGUAAACCAAAAAGUGAGGAAAAAAUUGAAUCAAAAGAGACCAAAAUGUUGAACGGGAGUGACACGGCUCAUAAAGUAGAGCAGAAAGUCAAGAGUGUAGAGCCUCAGAAGAAACAUGACAGCAGUAAAAAUGGUGAUACAAAAAAUGAGAUAAAAGACAAAAGUGUAAAAGACGCCAGUGUAAAAGUUACUGUGGGGAAGGAUGAUAGUGUCAAAAGUUUAGGAACUAAAGAAAAUGGUGAGAAGUGCUUAGUUGUGAAGAAUCAUAAUUCAAAAGAAUCACAUGUGGUUGAUAUAGUUAGUAAGAAUAAAGGAAACAAAGAAACAGUCUUGAAACCUUCACCAGCUAAAACACAUUUAAGUACAAAGAGUGAAGACUCAUCUGAAGAUAAUGACAUUAGAGCUAAAGACUCAGAGUCUGACAUAGACAUUACUGUAAUAGAAGAUGACAUUGAUCUUGAGGAUCUCAUGCGACAAAAGGCACUGCUUCAAGCGAGACUCGGAGCAUAUAUGUCUGAAGAAGAUGAUGAAGAUGAUGAUGAUGAUCGAUCUGAACUCCGUGGAGAUGCUAAACCAGUUCCUGAAAUAAUAACUUUAGGUGAUGAUGACUCUGACGUAAAAGGGCAUUCAAGUAAGAGAAAACAUGAAAGGAAGAGACGUCGGCAUAGCAGGAGCAAGAGCAGACAUAGAGAAGAUAAACGAGAUGAUAAACGGAAAGAAACCAGAGAAGAGAGAGACCGUGACAGGAAAAGGAGCACAUCAGAUGUAUUGCGAGAUGUGAAGAGAAUCAGAGAGAGUCAUAGUUCAUCCAGACGAAAAUCUGCUGAUAGAUCUCCUCUUAGGUCAUAUGAUGGAAGAAGAUCAUCAGAUAGAAAAAUUAGGGAUGAUGUUUGUAGAAGAACUGGUAUUGCCAAGGAAUCUUCAAGAAGAAGAAGCAGCAGAAGCCGUUCUCCAGUUCAUCAUGGUUCAUCACGUUCAUAUAGCAGAACUCGAGAAGCGAACAGUCACCGCUCACUGGACAGAGAUCGUGAACGUGAUCGAGAAAGAGAACGUGAGAGGGAACGGGACCGAGAACGUGAGCGGGAAAGGGAACGUGAACGUGAAAGAGAGCGAGAAAGGGAACGUGAUAGGGAACGUGAAAGGGAACGUGAGCGAGAAAGACUUAGACUUGAACGUGAUAGAGAACGUGAGCGUCAUCGUGAUCAUGACAGAGAUCACGAUCGUGACCACAGUCGACGACAUGGCCGUUCCAGGAGUAGGGAUCGACAUCAUUCAUCCAGAGGUCACUCCAGUAGGUCCCGUCAUGGUAAAGGGAGAGGAGAAAGAAAUGAUAAGUACAAAGACAGUCUGUCGGAAGGCUUGAAAGCUGAAAAAUCUUCGUCUGAAGAAGAGUGUUGUGAUUUUGACAUUGAAGAAGAUGAAGAUGAAGAACAAAUUAUUGAAAAGAGAAGGAAACAGCGGGAGGAACUACUAAGAAGGUUGGGAGCAUUAAGUGAAGAUUCUAAUGCUUCGAAUAUGAACAUGUCUGGGCAAAGCAGUGUUUGUGAGAAACCAGUUAACUGUCCUGACAAUUGCAAACCAAAUGUACCUGAAAUAAAAACUGAGACAAUUAAAACAGAAGAUGAUAAUGAGGACUCAAAACCAAAGGAGAAAAGAAAAUCACGCUUUACAUCAUAUGAUCCAGCUGCUGUUAAGGAAGAAGAAGAUGACAAAGAAAAUAAGCAAGAAAGGAAAGAUCGUAAAGAUGGGAAGAAAAAUGAAUGGGAUAUGUUUGCUGAGGGUGACAAUUUAGAGGCACUAAAUAGUCCAAGUACAGUUGAUAAAGCCCAUGGUGGUCCAGAAAAUCCUAGUCUCACUGAUAACUGGGAUGAUGCGGAAGGAUAUUAUAGGGUCAGAAUUGGGGAAAUCAUGGAUGGUCGAUAUGUUGUUUAUGGAUACACUGGUCAAGGCGUAUUUUCAAAUGUAAUACGAGCUAGAGAUAGUGCAAGAGGUAAUAUGGAUGUGGCAGUGAAAAUAAUACGCAACAAUGAAAUUAUGCAUAAAACAGGAUUAAAGGAACUAGAAGUUCUGAGGCGUCUGAAUGAUGCAGAUCCUGAUGACAAAUUCCACUGUUUGAGACUAUUCAGGCAUUUUUUUCACAAAAACCAUUUGUGCAUGGUGUUUGAACCUUUGAGUAUGAACUUGAGAGAGGUUUUGAAGAAAUACGGAAAAGAUGUUGGGCUUCAUGUAAAAGCAGUUCGUUCUUAUAGCCAGCAGUUAUUUUUAGCCCUGAAACUUUUAAAGAAGGCAAACAUUCUCCAUGCAGAUAUUAAACCUGACAAUAUCUUAGUUAGUGAGAGUAAACUAGUAUUAAAAUUGUGUGACUUUGGAUCUGCUUCACAUGUGGCUGAAAAUGAAAUUACACCUUACUUAGUGAGCAGGUUCUACCGAGCACCUGAAAUAAUUCUAGGCAUACCAUAUGAUUUUGGGAUUGAUAUGUGGUCAGCUGGUUGCACCAUAUAUGAACUGUAUACAGGAAAAAUCAUGUUUGCUGGAAAAACAAAUAACCAGAUGUUAAAAUUUUUUAUGGAUCUCAAGGGCAAAAUGCCAAAUAAACUUAUCAGAAAAGGAUCAUUCAAAGAACAGCAUUUUGAUAGUAAUUGUAAUUUCCUAUAUCAUGAAGUUGAUAAAGUGACUGAAAGGGAGAAAGUAGUGGUCAUGUCAACGAUUAAUCCUACUAGAGAUCUGCUCUCAGAACUGAUUGGUAAUCAGAAUCUUCCAGAGGACCAAUUGAGAAAAGUAAACCAGCUGAAGGAUUUGCUUGAGAAAAUUCUUAUGUUAGACUCCUCAAAACGUGCUGCAAUCAACCAAGCUUUGACUCACCCAUUCAUCCAGGAGAAGAUAUGAGCUGUACUCAUUUGAGACCAAGUUGAAAUGUUGUUGAGAGAGAAUAGAGCAGAAUCGAGGGCUGCUCUGGCAAGGGCAGAAUGUGGCCUCAUGUCUGGGGUGUGCAGUAUCUUCAGACGUGUAACAGUUUCAAGCAUAACGACUCCUUGGUUAUGAAGAUUUACGGAUGCAGACCAUUUUACUUCUUUGGCAAAGACCAAGUUUAAGCAUCCCAAGGUAUUUCUUUUAACUCUUUUUGAAGGUUUUAAUUUAUUUUUUCUCAUAUACUGAAGUGGUAGGUGAGUAUACGAGCAUGUGAAAUGGAGAAAAUUGCAAUAUGCAGUUUUCUACAGUGUUAGCAGGAAAAACUAAAGAUUCAGGGAACACACACCUUUUAAAUUUGUUAAUUGACUUCUGGUGACACUUUGCGGACAACAUUUUAAUAUUGUUUGUGAACAUAUUAUUUGAAAAGUUUUUUGCAGAUUUGGUUUUUUUAGUUUUUUAAUUUUUUCUUGUAAUGGAAGUUAUUUGUUUUAUGACUAUGAUAUACUGUAUCUACCCAAGUAUAAGAUGACCCUGAAUAUAAGGUGACAAUCAUACUGGCUUGGCUGAGAACUAGAAUGGGUGUGGGGAGGGGACGUUCAGGCCAUUUAAUAAUUCGUUCAUUUUCAUGAUAUAAGAAGAAAUAAAAUCUUCACUGUCUUUUUGUGUACGAAGUCUGUCAUCUGUGGUAUCAUUACUUUUAAUCAUCAUCGUCCUAAUAGCACAGUUUUGAAAUUUAUAUCUGAGGUUAUUGGUUAUUGGUUACAGUGAAAACUGAGAUUGCAAAUAUUCAUAUCAGAUUUUACUUCUAUACUGAUGUCAGAAUGUUAGUGUGUUUCUUCCUUCCAAACAUAUUGCCUACUCGCUGCUCUCUCUUUGGCUGCGGCAACUGACCCCUCCAUACCAUAUUCGUCCCCAUUAUACUUCACAGUGUGCAUAGACAACAUUAUUGCAGGGAACACAUAAGUAUGCCUCUCAUCCUACCUGGACUUUUACUGUCUUGUGCAGAAAUGUAUACCAUUGUUGUUCAUUUGUCCAAUUGUAAAUUUAAUUCAAAUGAAUUCAGGCGAACUGUGGCAUUAUAGGUUCCCACAGUUGGCAGCUUGACAUAAUUUGCUGUGUGUUCACUGCUCCCCUCACCACACCCAUCCUAAUUCUCAGCCAGGCCGAUCACUGUUCCCUCUCUAACCCUUUCAUAAUUCUGUGCUGAGCAGCUUUGAAACAUGGACUGCAAUAUCUGCUAGGGUCCAGGUCAUAUGUAACACCACCAACUAACACGUAAAUAAAAGAUUGCGAUCAUGCUUCAGUAAAAAUUUUAAAAUUUUGCUCGUCCUGGCAUUCUAAUGGUACCUGUUGGUACUAUGUCCACAACGAGGUUGGUACUAUCUCCACGAC